rnacentral:rRNA from 1 species
UACGGAGAGCGCAAGCGUUGUUCGGAAUUACUGGGAGUAAAGCGCGUGUAGGCGGCCAGGUAAGUCGGAUGUGAAAGCCCGGGGCCCAACCCCGGAACUGCACCCGAUACUGCCUGGCUGGAGUCACGGAGAGGAUGGCGGAAUUUCCGGUGUAGAGGUGGAAUUCGUAGAUAUCGGAAGGAACACCAGUGGCGAAGGCGGCCAUCUGGACGGUGACUGACGCUGAGACGCGAAAGCGUGUGGAGCAAACAGG